UUCGGUUCAAAAUCACUUUAAUAGGUACCGCUCAACAAGAGCAACUUAUUUUAUGAUAAUUGAAACAGUGAAUAAUAUGCGAAGGUUAUUCGCAUAUUAAGCAUAUUUUAACGAGGGAUUCAAUCCCGGUUCAUGACUGUCGGGAAUCGAGGGUGUUACCUACUCGUCCACCGACUUUUUAUUGUUGUAUUGGAUUGGUUUGGGAUAUACCCUGCAUUUUCUAUGGAAGACAGCUUAAGGGUGUUUAGGAAAACUCUGGACAAUAUCUUAUAGGUCUGUAGAGGUACAUACAUAUAAUUUCAAAGUAUUGCAUCGAGCAAUGCUCUUCCUCAAAAAUGGUUUCAUAACAAAUAUAUAUUAAUUAUAUAUUGGCCAAUUCUGGAAUGAUUAAAAAUCAACGAGAAUAGUUGAUAUUUAUUCCGAUAGAUGACGCAAGCCAUUAGCAACUUUCAGUUGCACGAUAAGGAGAUGCCUUUUUCAAUAAUAUAUGCACCUAAUCCCAGUACAAUAUCACAUUUGUACUGUUUUUCACAUUGUGUCGCGGUCUCACGCAAUUCUGGCCUUAACUACCCGUUUCAUGAUUUUUGCAGGAUGCCUGAAUAACCAGUCAAGCCAUCGGCAACUUCCAGUUGCACGAUAAGGAGAUGCCUUUUUUUUAUAAAUUUAUAUCAGUAAAUUGCAUUUUUAAAUUCAAUUGCACCUAUCGCUGAAAUUUGUAACAAAUUUAAACUUUAUAAGUUUAAUAUAACUUAAUUUUCCAUUUACUUUUCAUAAAAAGUUAAGAUAUUUUGAUUAACUAUAUAUAUGUAUUAAAUAAUACAUACGUGUGAAUUUGCACUAUUAUCAGGUUUAUAAAUUAAAAAAUAAGGCAUAUCUUUCUUAAUUUAUAUGUAAUGUUUUGUAAUAAUAAUAUUUUUCAAUGUAAAGAUAGAGGCUGCCUGGCCGGCAUUCAUAUUUAUAUGAAAAACAGACACUUCGGCCAGUUAGAGUUUUUUAUUUUCUCAACGUUUCGACAAAAAUCUUUUGUCUUCGUCAGGAGAAGUGAAUAAACUGGCCGAAGUGUCUAUUUUUCAUAUAAAUUUUUAAUGUGUUUAUUUUCAUAUAUAUUAUCAAAUAUUAUCUCUACAAAUCUCACUAAAAUGUUAAAUAUUAUGAUUAAGAGGGCUUGAAUCAUCAGUGGUGAAUCCUCUCAGCCAUUUCUCCAAAAUUAAUCUCAAGAUCGCUCUACAUUUGUAUUGGAUUGGAUUCACCACUGAUGAGCUAAACCUUCUCAUUCAAUAACUUUUAUCAUUGUAGUAAAAUCUGUAGAUAAAAUAUUUAAUUAUAUAUGCCAAAAGAAACACAUUUAUUGGAUCGUUUUUUUUUUUUGAGACAACUCUCAGAUUUAUAAAAUUAAUUUAUUAAACUACAAACAUUUUUAGAUAUAGAGAGAGAAACGAACCUCGUAUUUAAGGCAACAAAAGAAUCAUCUAAUUUACAUACAUCGUUCUAACCAGAUUCAACUUGUGCAAAACAGACGACAAAGAAAAAUAAACAAACUAAUAAUAGAGGGUAAGUUCCUAUUUUACAAGCUUUCUCACACUCAAAGAAUAAUAAUUUUCUUGCUUUAAAAUUGCCAAAAUAUUAUAAUUACAAAUUUUAGCGAUAGAUGUGGCAAGUGAAUUUAUAAAUAUAGAUAUAUUGUAUUAUUGAUAUUUUGUAUCUAUAAAUACUUCGUUUUCUUUCGUAUAUUCUACACUUUAUAAAAUCCUAGAAUUAUAAAUUUUUGAUACUGUGUUAGUAUUUUAACAAAUAUAAAUUAUAUAUUCAGAUACUAUAUAUAUUUUCAAAAGAGUUAAACAGAAAUAUAUUUGGGUGAAAAAUUGAAAACGCUUUUUUCUUUAUAUACAAUCAUUGGCAAAUCGUCGGUUGUAUUUUUAUUUAUCUUUUGAGGAGACAGAGGCAAUUUUGUUCGAACUUGGUCAUUUCGUGUGUCUUCAAUAAAUCUCACUGUAAUAUCUUUCAGAAUUAUUGUCUGAAUAUCGAAAUAUAUGAUAAAAUGCACAAUUUUCUUAAGUUUUGUCCAUGAGUAUACUCUAUUGAUAAACAAUAAUUUAUUGUAUUUAUAUAUAUAAAUGAAUUUUAUUCUUAUGAAAGAUUUUUCAAUAAAAAGAUAAACGUAGUAUAUCAAUAAAUUGAAGGGAUGAUACUCAGGGAUACUUAGGUUCAUAACUGAAUUUUUUAAUGGUGUUUUACUCAAAAUAUAAAACUAAAUUUUUAAAAUUACAAUUAGUCACUCUCAGUUUUCUACACACAACUCACAGUGACAAUAUAUCAUCAAAGAAUGAUAUAAUAAAUAAUAAAAUGAAAGAGUUCCUGCAAUAAAUAUUGACUCCAAUCUAUCUAUCUAUUGAGAAUGAAUAUUGAUUUACCAUAUAUUGAUUUUCAAUGAUUAUCUUUAUUCAUAGUUUCCCUUUGCACCGACUGUUCUGAUAAUACUAGAAUAUAUUAUAGGUUUGGUAUAUAUUCCAUGAGAUCAUGUUGAGAUUCAUAAUUGAAUCCUAGAUGUGCGAGUUUAGUAUUUAAAGAAAGAAAUGUGUCCAGAGUGUUGAGGAAUACACACAGGAAGUUGUACCUUACAGAAUGUAUAUCGGGAUUCAUACAAUACCUCUGAAGGAUACACUCAUUAACAAAACUUGAGGAAGUUGUACCUUUUAGCAUGUAUAUCGGGAUUCAGACAAUAACUCUGAAAGAUACACUCAUGGACAAAACUUAAGGAAGUUGUACCUUUUAACAGGUAUAUCGGGAUUCAGACAAUAACUCUGAAAUAUACACUCAUUGACAAAACUUAAGGAUGUUGUACCUUUUAGCAUGUAUAUCGGGAUUCAGACAAUAACUCUGAAAGAUACACUCAUGGACAAAACUUAAGGAAGUUGUACCUUUUAACAGGUAUAUCGGGAUUCAGACAAUAACUCUGAAAUAUACACUCAUGGACAAAACUUAAGGAAGUUGUACCUUUUAACAGGUAUAUCGGGAUUCAGACAAUAACUCUGAAAUAUACACUCAUGGACAAAACUUAAGGAAAUUGUACCUUUUACCAUGUAUAUCGGGAUUCAGAUAAUAACUCUGAAAGAUUCACUCAUGGACAAAACUUAAGGAAGUUGUAUAUUUCAGCAUGUAUAUCAGGAUUCAGACAAUAACUCUGAAAGAUACACUCAUGGACAAAACUUAAGGAAGUUGUAUCUUUCAGCAUGUAUAUCAGGAUUCAGACAAUAACUCUGAAAGAUACACUGAUGGACAAAACUUAAAGAAGUUGUACCUUUCAGCAUGUAUAUCGAGAUUCAGACAAUAACUCUGAAAGAUACACUGAUGGACAAAACUUAAAGAAGUUGUACCUUUCAGCAUGUAUAUCGAGAUUCAGACAAUAACUCUGAAAGAUACCCUCAUGGGGACAAAACUUAAAGAAGUUGUAACUUUCAGCUUGUAUAUCGGGAUAUUUGAAACACAGUGACCUUUAUUGAGCACACACGAGAAAACUAAGUGUGAACAAAUUUUCUUCUGUCUCCUUCAAAAACAUAGACGACCACGAUAUAAAAGACUCUACCUCUGCUCAGCAGGCCAAUCACGGCGUGGACACUAGGAACGAUGUACGCAUGUUUUUUGUCCAAGAGACUCAUGGGAGAAAGGCCAAAGCGGGUGAAGAUUGUGCGCUCGGCGGAGCUGAACCUGACCUGCCAAGCUGCCAACGCCCGCUUGUAGAUUGUCGAUUUAAGUUUCGACAGAAUAGAAAUUCGGCAAAAGCCAGGAAUGAUAUAGGCAACAAAAGCCCUUGCAUCCCCUGUUUUUCGCUGAAAAACCACGUCACACAGCCAGAAGGAAUGAUGCAUUCUCCAUGCACCGAGCGGCCUUUGGUAGGCCCCUCGCGCCCGCCAGUAUGGUCCGGCUACAAUGGGGUUGACCACUCACCCACAGGCGUCUCCGAGAGUUCAUUGGCAAGGUUGCUGACCGAGCCCUCUCGUUCGGACUUAGAGCCAUCCGUCCUACGCUCCAAUAGGACUCCCCCCCCCUUUAGCCCUCGAACCCUUAACCAGUACUCCCUGAAUCUGCCGUCGAAUCAAGGACCUCUGAGGAACUGAGGUUUACGCGGGGAACGCCGUGAACGCGGGGGGGUGGUACUACUGUGUGCACCCCUUGGUUUCUCAUGGUGCGCACGACAAGGACGCUCCCAAUGACGCACACACAGAGCGAAGACCCAAGAGUUUCAAGUCACGUGCGCCUCGCCUCAGACAACCAAGGACAGCUUACAGCUUCACUGGACAUCAGUCAGUGGCACCCCGACGGAGGACACACGCAGAGACGCCUCUCAACUCACUCCCCUCUAGAGUGAUUGUAGAGGGCGGGAAAAACUCCUUCCCCGCUUAAGUUUCGACAGCGGUGCGAGGCGAUGGCACCUCGGGAGAUCAUAUUCCGCCCCGCGUUUCGCGAGCACAUCAGCUACCUCAUUACCAUAAAUCCCGCUGUGGCCUUUGAUCCAUUGUAUGGUACAUCUGUUCCCAUUGCGGUUCAGUUGUGAAAUCAGCAACAAGGCUCUGUUGACCAGGAGGUUGCCAGUUCUGGAGUUUAGAACGGAUUUCACAACUGAGAGGUUAUCCAGGAGAAUUUCAAUGGUGUAAUUGUCGGGAAGCUUUGAGGCGUCCUCAAGUGCUUUAAGCAAGCCAAGUGCCUCCGCUUGGAAGACAGAACAGUACGGGGACAGGACAAAGCUUCAACGCAGUUCAUUCAUGGAGCCAUUCGCACACACUCUAUAUAGGCCUGUGCCAACUCCAGUUUUCGUCUUGGAACCAUCUGUGUAGUAGAUGACGUCAGCAGAAAGAUCAGGAAUAUUAAUGGGAGCGGAGUAAUAGGGAGGAUAGGGAAGUGGGUGAGGGCAGGGGGGAGGCUCGACUGGAAAAUCAGCGUCAACAAAACUGUGCUUUUUAAAAUACAAUUCCGCCUUGGCGCCGACAUCCAGAUCGAGAGGGAGAACACGUGAAAGAGAGAUGAGAGAGCUAUUGGCAGUUGUUUUAAACGCGCGGCAUGUCCCGAUGAGGAACGGGCGCUGCGCGCUUAAAAGAGUGUUUAAGGAGCGUUGUUUAAGAUUAGAAAACCACAUGGGAGAAGCGUAAGAGAUGGCUGGGACCACGACCUGUAGAUAGAGCAUCCUCAGGGCACGGAAACCAAAGCCAAAAUUGGAGUUGGCGGCUGCUGUCAAACGCGGGAGAAAUCCGCGGACUCUUGUGCAAACCUCAACCACAUGCUGGUGGAAGGUGAGACGCUGAUCAAACCUUACUCCAAGCACUUUGAUUGAGUCGCUCCAUUGAAUGGGUUGACCAUUAAUGGUUAGAUCGCAGCUAGGCUUUAGUAGUCUGCCAGUACGUCUUAGAAGGAGCAUGGCCUGACACUUCCUCACGCUGAGUUCCAGUUUAUGCAGGCCACACCACCUCGUGAUCUCGUUAAUGGCAAGUUGCGCCGCUCCAAGUUGAUUAGUAACUUGGCCCGCCACCACCAUGACAAGAUCGUCGGCGUAGGCCUGCGGGUGUACACAUUUUUUAAAGUUGAGCGUGAGGAGCUCGUCAAAGACAAGGUUCCAAAGAAACGGCCCAAGAACUGAGCCCUGCGGGCAGCCUUUGGAAACCUGCCUCGUGACCGUGCAACCAUUCAUAGACAGUCUGACAACACGGUUAUUGAGGAAGGAGCGAAUCAGGACAAACAGGUUUUUUGGACAAUCAUUCAUACACAGAGCUCGCAAUAUGCUGGAGUGUAGCACAUUGUCAAAAGCGCCUUUCACAUCAAAGGAAAGAAGAACAGAAGAUUUUCUAUGCUGAAGCGACCGGGAGAGAUUAUUUUUUAAAUUUAGAAGUGUGGCGACAGUAGAUUUGCAGGGCCUGAAACCGAACUGGUUUGGUUGGGCUUUACACAUUCUCUCAGCUCGCCACGAGAGCCUGGCCAGGAUUAGACGCUCUAGAAUUUUACCUAAGCCAGGCAGCAUCGUGAUGGGCCGAUGAGACGCGAGAAAGUCCUCAUUACCUUUUUGGGGAAUGAGUAUGACAUCACCCAGUUUCCAAGGGGUUGGAAAAUGUCCAGUUUCACACACACACAAAGCACCUAUUGAAGAUCUUUAAAAAGAACGUCGGGAAUUUUUUAAUUAAUUUAACAAUGACAAGAGGUGGCAUACCAUCACUGCCAGGAGCAGAAGUUAGGCUAACCUUAUCCGCAGCCAGAAGCAGUUCUAUUUCUGAGAACGGUGGGUCGUUAUUAGAGGUGGACUGCACGACUUUAUGUAAGUUAACAUGCUCUACUGUUGUAUCGGGCGGGACGCGGCCGAAGUAGUGCAUUAAAACGUGUUCUAGAGUGUCCCGCGGACUGUCAGUGAGAUCAUCGCCAACCAGGAGAGAGGAAAGAGGCUUCCUCUUGGUGGAGCCUUUUAUAAAUUUAUAAACGCCGCCCCAGGGGCUAACCUCACAAAGCGAACAGAUCCUUCUCCAUUCAGCAGACUUCCCGUGUCUGAUAGAGGUGCGAAAUCUAUUAUAUAAUUUCUUAUAAAAUAUUUUCAACACGCUUCUAACAGGCCCACGAGCUUUUCUCCAGGCCCGUUCAGCUUUUUGAGUAACCUUUUGGAGCGGAUUUAGUUCAGGUUUCCACCAAGUGGGUUUCUUAAAAAAAAUAUUGGCGGCAGGUUUAGAGGGAAUGGUUUGUAGACACGAGUGAAACACCUCGUCUUUUAGUAAAUUAAUUACUUAAUAGACUUGAGUUGUGUCACUUGCGUCCAGUAAGGAUGAAAUUCUAAAAAAAAUUUUUUUUAGAGCUAGAAAAAAAAAAUUCCCAGGCGAACCAAAGCUGAAGUGUACUUCGCUAAAAGUAUCUCGACUUAUUUAGGCAUACA